rnacentral:rRNA from 1 species
GAUGAACGCUGGCGGUAUGCUUAACACAUGCAAGUCGAACGGACUCUUCGGAGUUAGUGGCGGACGGUUGAGUAACGCGUGAGAAUCUGGCUUUGGGUUCGGGACAACCACUGGAAACGGUGGCUAAUACCGGAUGUGCCGAGAGGUAAAAGAGAAAUUGCCUGAAGAUGAGCUCGCGUCUGAUUAGCUAGUUGGUGAGGUAAAGGCUCACCAAGGCAGCGAUCAGUAGCUGGUCUGAGAGGAUGACCAGCCACACUGGGACUGAGACACGGCCCAGACUCCUACGGGAGGCAGCAGUGGGGAAUUUUCCGCAAUGGGCGAAAGCCUGACGGAGCAAUACCGCGUGAGGGAAGAAGGCUCUUGGGUUGUAAACCUCUUUUCUUAGGGAAGAACAAAAUGACGGUACCUAAGGAAUCAGCAUCGGCUAACUCCGUG